UAAUUGGAGAGUUUGAUCCUGGCUCAGAAUGAACGCUGGCGGCGUGCUUAACACAUGCAAGUCGUACGAGAACUCUUUAGCUUGCUAAAGAUAGUAAAGUGGCGCACGGGUGAGUAACGCGUGGGUAAUCUGCCUCUGAAUCGGGGAUAACAUUGCGAAAGCGAUGCUAAUACCGGAUAACAUCUCAAAACCAUCUGGUUUUGAAAUUAAAAAUGGCCUCUACAUGUAAGCUGUUGUUUGGAGAUGAGCCCGCGUACCAUUAGCUUGUUAGUAGGGUAAUGGCCUACCAAGGCCACGAUGGUUAGCUGGUCUGAGAGGAUGAUCAGCCACACUGGAACUGACACACGGUCCAGACUCCUACGGGAGGCAGCAGUGAGGAAUUUUGCGCAAUGGGGGAAACCCUGACGCAGCAACGCCGCGU
rnacentral:rRNA from 1 species